CAUUGGCAGCUGGGUCGGGCCGAGCACUGCCUCGCGCCUGUGGCGGUCGCACGUGCUGGGGGCGGAAGCAGCGAUCGCAGCUAUGGCGUCGUUACUUUGGGGAGGCGACGCAGGGGCUGCGGAGAGCGAGCGGCUGAACGGCCACUUUUCAAAUCUCAUCCACCCCCGGAAGAACCUUCGGGGUAUUAAGAGUACUACUGCCUCAAACGUAGAUGGUUGUGUUAAUAACACCGAAGAAGACGAUGAAGAAGAUGUAGUGGAUUUGGCAGCUAACUCACUCUUAAACAAGUUAAUCCGACAGUCCUUAGUAGAAUCCAGCCACCGAGUUGAAGUCUUACAAAAGGAUCCCAGCUCUCCACUCUACUCAGUGAAAACAUUUGAAGAGCUGCGGCUAAAGGAAGAGUUACUAAAAGGGAUCUACGCAAUGGGAUUUAAUAGACCUUCCAAAAUUCAAGAGAUGGCUCUCCCUAUGAUGCUGGCACAUCCACCCCAGAACCUCAUAGCCCAGAGUCAGUCUGGAACAGGAAAGACAGCUGCUUUUGUCUUGGCAAUGCUAAGCAGAGUUAAUGCCUUGGAAUUGUUUCCACAGUGCCUCUGCCUGGCUCCUACGUAUGAAUUGGCUCUGCAAACUGGCCGUGUGGUCGAAUGGAUGGGAAAAUUUUGUGUGGACGUUCAAGUGAUGUACGCCAUUCGAGGGAAUCGAAUUCCUAGAGGCACUGACGUCACCAAGCAGAUUAUAAUUGGUACUCCUGGGACUGUCCUAGAUUGGUGUUUCAAGCGAAAAUUAAUUGAUUUAACUAAGAUCCGUGUGUUUGUCCUGGACGAAGCAGAUGUGAUGAUCGACACGCAAGGAUUCUCAGACCAGAGCAUUCGUAUUCAGAGAGCUUUACCCUCCGAGUGCCAGAUGCUCCUCUUUUCAGCGACCUUUGAAGACUCUGUAUGGCAGUUUGCGGAGCGAAUCAUUCCUGACCCCAAUGUGAUCAAGUUACGCAAAGAGGAGCUGACCCUGAACAACAUCAGACAGUAUUAUGUGUUGUGUGGGAAUAGGAAAGACAAGUACCAGGCUCUGUGCAACAUUUACGGCGGCAUCACCAUUGGCCAGGCCAUCAUCUUCUGCCAGACUCGUCGCAACGCCAAGUGGUUGACUGUGGAGAUGAUGCAGGAUGGCCACCAGGUGUCUCUGUUGAGUGGAGAGCUGACCGUGGAUCAGCGAGCGUCCAUCAUUCAGAGGUUUCGAGAUGGGAAGGAGAAAGUUCUCAUAACAACCAACGUCUGUGCCCGAGGGAUUGAUGUGAAGCAGGUCACCAUUGUUGUGAACUUUGACCUCCCUGUGAACCAAGCAGAGGAGCCAGACUAUGAGACCUACCUCCACCGCAUCGGGCGGACAGGCCGCUUUGGGAAGAAAGGCCUUGCCUUCAACAUGAUCGAGGUGGAUAAGCUGCCCCUGCUGAUGAAGAUCCAGGACCACUUCAACAGCAAUAUUAAGCAACUCGACCCUGAAGACAUGGAUGAAAUUGAAAAGAUUGAAUAUUAAAGAAAGAACUUCAUCAUUUAGAAGUAUUCUGGUUUAUGUGAGAAUGUAGGUUUUGAAGGAGAGCUACACACAUGGAAGAGCAUGAGCCAUAGGAGCUUUGUACCGAGGAAGAUUAUUUUCCAGAAGCGAAAAGAAAACGGAGUGAUUAACUCUUACCUGCAUCCUGCCUUAACUUUCAGAUUCGCUGGCUCCCCCAUGUGACCAUCUCAUUAUACCUACUCCCAUCAGCUUAUGCAGGAUGUGGAUCAUUUUUAAUUUAAUAUUUACAUUAUAAAAGCAAUAAAACAGCACACAAAAGUGGUAGGGGAAAAUUAUCAAAAAUCUCAUUACUUCAUAACAGUGUCUUGAAAUGGUCCUUCUCACCUUAAUAUGACUAUAGUUAAUUGUAGUGCAUAUAUGGUAUUGCGUCCUUUUAUUUGAAACAUACAAGUGUUUUUUUCAUGUUGCGACGUAGUCUUUGGAAUUAUAAUAAUAACAAUUGAUCAGAUUAUUCUAUCAGGUGAAUAUAGCACAAUGCAUAUCACUAUCCUUGUUGAACAUUUAUGCAGUUGUCCAGUUUUUCAACACUGUAAAUAAGGCUGCAGUAAAUCUUCUUGCCCAUUAUUUUGAAUUAUUUCUUAGAACUAGAGAUGUUAUGUUUGAGUACUAGGUCAAAAAAUAGGAGCAUUUUUAUGGCUUUUGAUAGGUAAUGGCAAAUUGCUUCCAAAAGCCAUGACUACAUCAGUUUAUAUUAAAAGGAUAUUUUCAUUUCAAAAUUGCUUGGUACCUUUUUCCGGUUUACAUUUCUUGUAAUACGAUGUUGCUUUUCUUUUUUUUCUUUUCUUCUUUUUUUGGCAUGUGGUUCAUUGUUUGAAAAGCAUCUGUGGUGUCCUUUUGCCCAUGUAUCUUAUGAAAUCUUGGUGUUGUCCUUAUCAAGUUUUGCGAAUACAAGUGUGACUCGAUUUUUCCAAAUAAUGAUAUUAAUUUGUUACUGAACAUAUAUUUUCAUAGUUUGCCUUUUUUAUUUAUGGUUUUACACACAAAACUAUCUAAUUUUUGUAGUCAAAUGUAUCAAUAAUUUUGUGGGGUUUGUCUGCUGGUUCCAGAAUAUCCGCCCUGCUCUAGGAAACAUUCAAUUGUAUUCUUUUUUUUUUUCUUUAACAAUUUUUAU